UACCAAUUUCUAUGGUAUGAUGUUAUCAAAAACAUAACUUCAUCAAAUUGGCAAUGUCAUUGAGCACAAUAAACUACAAACACCCAUUAUGUAAUUCCUUAUUGGGUUGAAAAUGAAAUAUGUUUCUUGGUUCUACUUUCAAAAACAAUUCCAGACAUAAACCAUUUUGAAUAAUUAUAAACUGACUUUGGAACAAUGAAGUAAACUUUUGACACCCAUAUUCCUGUUCUGAACACCCACAUAGAACAGAAACGUAGAGUUUAGCUCUGAGUUCGACAUAGAUAAGUGCCAAAGUGAUUUCAGAAGAUAAAAAGAAUUGAAGAGGAUAUAUUAGAAAGUACUGAAGCUGAACCUAAAUUAUGAAAUGAUAGUAUGUGCUGCUGGUUGUAUUCAAUAUAUGAUGCAUUUGCAGGUCAAAUGGCUCAUAGACAUACCAUGGAAAUGAAAACAAAUAUGCAUUAGGCAUUUCUUCAAUUUCAGGCACAAAUUUAACCUAAAGAUCACCAAGGUUUUGCACCAAUUACCAGAAGACACCAUAUGAAGGGCUAUCUUUGGUAAUAACUGCUGGAAACAGAUUCUUUCCAUACACCCAAAAAUUUAAACAAUCUUGAUUACUUCCGUAUUCAUUAUUUUACCCAAAAGCAAUCAACCAUUUAAUUUAUUUAUUUUUUGUUCUGAAAUUGAGUCGGGUUUUUAAGUAAUAUAUGUCAGAUAUUAUAUAUCAUUUUAAUGAUACUCCAGCAGACUAAGCUAUGUUGAAGCUACUGUAUUUCCAGGAAUGCCUUCAUACUAUGGACAAAGGAUAAUACAUCAGUCCAUAUACAAUAGGCAUUGUAUAAAAUCAAUAUUUCCCACCUAGAAACUUGAUCAGAGGCAUUGUAUAAAAUCACUAUUUCCCACCUAGAAACUUGAUCAGAGGUGCAGCUAUAGGUUUGUAUAAAAUCAUUUGUAUAUUGAACAUGUAUCUUUGCGACACAGAUAAAUACUCAACAUAAUCAGAAA